GAGGGGGGCAUUGCUUCAUGGAGAAUGUCAGUCAGACCCUGAAUGGUUUUCACUGUGCCGUCGCAGUACCAGCUCCAGCACACUCUCUGAAAUGGAACUCCAGGUGUUUCCGUCUGACAGACACCAGAGAGGGCCCAGACGAUGCCUGGAAUUAAUUCGUUUGGGGUAAAAUUCUACAGCAGGACUGUCCAAUCGCAGUCCUGGAGGGCCAUUCCAAUUCAGAUUUAACAGGACUGGUACGCAACAUCUCCUUUCCUGUGAUGUCCACAUUAAUGGAAAGCUUUAUGAAUGAAUUUCUCCAAGGAAGUGGCAGACUCGAGCAGGUCUGAAUUUUCUCCGUUCAUCAUUCAUCCAGGAGAUCAGGUGAAACGAUAAUAAAUCACUGAAGGGGAAAAUUGAAACAAGCUUGACGUACUUGGCCUCCUGUAGCCACGGAAUGAAAGGCUGUUUUGUGGUGACUAAACCACCUCCCUCCCUGGACUGGACACCUUGAUCCUGACAGCAGCUCAUAAACAUGGCCAAGCUUUCAUUGGCUGCCCAGCUCUCUCCUGCAUGUCCAAGACCCUCCAACAGGCUGUGAACUGCGACCUUACGACCUUUGCCCCACUUGCCCUUGCCAAACCUGCAUCAGAUUACAGGCUCCAAAGGGAAGGCCUGCAUCAAAAUUAAGAGAGGAAACCCAACACCCCUGCUGUAAACACAGCCCCCCUGUGAACAGGGCCCAGCCUCUCUCCCAGAGGAAGAGAAUUCUAAAACUGCUCCCAUGCAGAAACUGGGCUGUGACCUCAUCACAACUCCUGAGGUAGGCGGAGCUGGGCCUGGUUGGUGGUUCAAUGCUGCAGAGUACGGUGGUGUUGGGACACACUGUAUCUCAUACAGACACACACACACUGUACCUCAUACAGACACACACACACUGUACCUCGUACAGACACACACGCUGUACCUCAUACAGACACACACACUGUACCUCACAGCUGCUUCUGGGUGGCCAGCAGACCCUCAGCUGUCAUUGCAGCUCCUCCUGAAAGAAACAGGGAACAAGACCUGGGUCCAGUCCCUCUCUGUGUAUGAUGGUAUACCUUCACACAUAAAACCCUUGAUUUCAUAAAGUAGCAUUGGUUUAAGAGCCGUGAGAUUCAACUGACCAGUGAACUGAUUUAUGGGUUAUUAUAUUAGAUUAUGUGCAGACCUAGUAUUUUUUUAAAACAGGUAUUGGUAUAGAUAAACAUCUAGAAUCAUCUGCCAAAAAGACAAUGAUUGUCAAAAUAUCUCAUCUCCAUGGGUGUCCCAUAAGUCAGGCAUCGUAAGCCAUAUCGCACAUUAUACUGAUCAGGAUGUUCUCUGUUAAAUCGGACGGCCACACCCUCUAGACUAUCUGCACCACACAUUAAAAUGAUCUCUUUGCUUAAAGACAUUUCACACCUGAAACAGAGAGAACAGGGCCAAUAUCAACAGUUAUGCCUGUGAUUCCUGGCUUAUGGGACUCUCUGUAGAAAGAAAGAAAGAAAGAAAGAACAGAUGAGCUCUUGUGCACUCCCUCUCGGCUCCCUGUUUGUUUUAGAUUAACAGGUGUGAUCUUGUCGGUUCCUUGCUGCAGCUGGGUGUCCCUCCUGGCCUCUUUGAAGUGUCUCCUGUGAUGUGUGUGGAGCAGAGCGCUCCCUCGGUAAACGAGAGGGGCUCCUGGUGUCUGAGAUGGCCAGGUUUGUCGCAGCUGUGGGUCAGAGAGGCAGAGGUGUCACCUGGACCCCAUGUGAACAGGAUACACUUGUGUCAAUAUUUGUCAUGGCACCCCUGUCUGUGUGGGCCCCUCCGGGGCUCUCGCAGUCCAUCACAAGCCUCUAUUAACAUUCAAACAAAAGAUGUUCACUGGAACAUAAAAGAAACUUAGUCAUAUACAAGUUAAUAUGCUAGUUAAUUCACUCUGUGUUUGGCUUGCUCAAGGUCUUCCCAGUCUCGUGGACAUUGAUUUAAGACCCCUGGGCUUACUGCUCCAACACUACCUCUAUUAUAUUUCAAAGGCCCCUUCAUGUAUAAAGCUCUAUUUGAAAUGUUUCCACAUUCCAAAAACAUUUGGUAUUAAUCAACAGGUCAUUAGACUAUGACAUCAGAAAGGUCUGCAGUUACUGUGGUCGGCAUGUGUGGAGUGUGACAGGUAGACUGACAGGCAGGCAGGCAGACGCGAUCAGCGCAAUAUCUCUGUCUAUUAAUUACUAAGCAAGCGCUCAGCCAGCAUCAUUCUCAUCACGCUUGGACUGAAGGACCACACAACGCUCAACCCCAUUGUGUGAAAACAAGAGCUCCGUUUGGUUUAAACAAACACAGAUCCUGAAGAAUGGGUGCAUGAGGAUUGCAAGGCCAGGGAGCCAGGGAUUGCACUGCAGAAGCAAAUGGAGGGCUCCCAAAAUCCGUUGGCACUUUUGGGAGAAAGCUGACUUUUAUCCCCAAGCUUUCACUCUGUUUUAGCAGAGCCCUAGAAAAACGGUCAAACAUGAUGCAGACUGUGGAUCGGAUUCUUAAAACAGUGACAACUUAAAAAUUAAUAAAGUGAUAGCAUAAAAAAAAAAAUAAGAUGUCAUUUGAAGCAGCUUUAAGUUUUUCAAUUGCCCAGUUUAGACACCAAACACAAAUCUGUUGCGGGAAAGGGCCGUGUAAAAUAUUACUGUUCCUGACCCAAUGUGUUAAAUUUAGAAAGUUUUUGUAUGGUUGGUAAAAAAAAAAAAAACAACAGCUAAUAAAACAUUAUUUGGUUUGUGUUUUUCCACUUGGGGAAUUACUAUAACAUUUUAUAACAGCAGGUUAAGAAAAUAUUGUUCUUGUUACACACAUUAUAUGACACUACAAAGAUAACAUACGGCUAUAUAUCAUUUCUAAAGUCUAGGCGCAAAAAGUGAGUUCCCGAUUUCUACUGGCUCUAAAGUGCGCCCUGUCAAAUACACUGCAAUCCAUUAUGUUAUUAACAAUGACAAUUCAACGAGAUUUAGGACAGAUCAAGGCUAAAGCCCAGCUGUUCAAAUCAGCAUUUUAUAAAUAAAAUUCCAAACACAGCGUCAACCCAGAAUGCUUUAUUACUUCUUGAUAUUCAUUGAUGCUGUUUUUUUUAUAUGUGCAAUAAAACACAUGCUCUAGGUAUUGUUCUGCCUUUGCAGAUCCCAGGUGGCACAUGUUGUAAACGCUGCUGUCCGGAGUUUGCAGGCUCACAAUGUGCAUUGAUGAUACCUAUGUGUUGAUCAACAGUGAGGCACAAUACCGUUUACAGUGUUUGCUGUGCUGCAAACACUUUGAAUAAGGUUUGCAAAUGUUUACAGACGGCGAGUAAACCGUAACGCAAACAGGCAGUAGAGAAUCACACACUUGAGUAAACUCGACACCUUGGGCUGUGUGGUCGGAAAGAUGCGUUGGGCUUGAAUCUCGUUAAUCAUCGCUUCAUUUAAAAACCUGCGGAGCGUCAGCCUUUACCAAGCUUGGUACCUUGCUUUUCUGUGCUUUCCCUGUGCUUUCCUUCCCUUUGCUACGAUUUUACUGCUGGCAUGUACUGCUAUGGCCAAAAGUUUUGAAAUUGAAUUGUCUAAAUCAAUUUCAAAACUUCCCAGCCUCCUACACAUUGAUUUAAGACCCCUGGGCUUACUGUUCCAACACUACCUCCAUCACAUUUCAAAGGCCCCUCUCCCCUCCUUCCUUAUUUUAAGGCUACAGGAUGGCUUUAUUAUAACCAGGUCCCUGUUUCUGACAGGCUGGGCUGGCCCUCAUGUUUCUCAUAAACUCGGGCUUGACUUGUUUUCACAGUUCCUUCAAAGAGAAAAGAGAAUCUCGUGAGGAACGCGCUUGUUUGAUGAUGUCAGUAUCCAAUCACUCGUAUUGCCCAGUGCCUGUAAACUGGGUGUCUAGUAAAAGCUAGUUUUUGUACUGGUGGAAUAGUGAAAUCUGUAACAGCAAUACCA